UUUCUCGCUUCUGUAAAAUGCUUCCCCCUGCACAGAUCUCCCCCAACCCCACAAAAUGCUUAAAAGAUAACUUAGCUCUUUGUUCAGGGCUCAGUCCUUUGGAUGUAAUCCGACUAGGCCAGUGAACCUAAAUAAUAAAUAUCCUCCUCAACCCCUCGGUCUCCCUGAUUCUUUAAAAUAUCCUGCAACAUUUCUGGAGGCUUAUCUGGGUUUGGAGAUGAUAGAUUUACUGUCUCCUUUGCCCGGGGCUAGGGGAGACCCAGCAUUCAAGGCGCGCCAUGAGGGGGCUUCACCUGGAUGGAGACCAGCUCUCCCCAUGUCCUGGUGCCCUGCCCAGCAGUGCAACGGAACUGGGGACAGAGCUACAGGACAAUACCAGCACUUCAGGAACCAUGUUGCAGGUGUCACACUUUGGAUUCACCAUAGUCGGCUGAAACCAGUGGCAGCAGUGACUCCCAACGACGACCAGUGGAUUAGCCAACAAGACCCAGAUUGCCCCACCUGAAUAGUCCCCUGGUGAAACCCAACCACCGGUAAGAAGGACAACUGCCCUGCUCUGACCACACUGGAGGCUGGUCAGUCUAUGCACGGCUGAAGCUUGAGGAUCCUGCAAGCUCUGCUCUAGUCACAUCCUGGAAGCUGACUAGUCUACGCACAGCCAAAGCUAAGAGGACCAUCUCCGGAUAAGUAAAUGUGGAUACAAUUUAUAAGCCUAGUUAUAAUUCUGUCAAUACUGAUUGUUCUGUUGUUAUGUUAUUACUGCAAAUACUGCAAACGUCUAUGCCCAGAGGAAGGUUUGCCAUGCCCAUGUGUAGUGUAAGCAUGUUUCUAUUACAUACACUGAUGUUGUUACCAUUUCUGCCUAUACUAGAAGGGGAGAAAUCCCUAGAAGAAUGCCUGUGUACACACUACCUGGAUAAGGAAUACCCUAGUUAAACCUCUACUGUGCCAUACUGACUAUGAAUGUACAGGAACCAAGUUAGGAACCUGCACAUACAACCAGAAACAGUCUGCAAUAGUUUAACACAAGAGAGACUUAGCAGCAACAGUCCUAAACAUCUGUACAGAAAACCACAAAUCAGAUGUCGAGACUGUACAUUCAGUGGUCUUUGCUAACACAGCUCCAACACUUACAUUCAGGAAGGACUGCUCUGCUAAUUAGUAUGUCAACCAAACCAGAUUGUAAGACAAGAACAUGCAAUCCUUUAAAUUUUACUAUCUUAAAGCCAGAGCUACCUUCUUGGUCUACAUGACAGAUGACACUAUUAUGAGUUGAUAGACAAGGAGCAGACCUUGGAGUUCCACUACUAAUUGUCAAAAAGACUAGAAGGACUCAAAUGUAUCCAACCCCACAAUUCUAGGUCCGUAAGUCACUCUAUAAGCAUUUUGAUCAGUCAGUGCUGGAGCUUCCCCCAUCAACCAAAAACUUAUUUGCUCAACUAGCUGAAAACAAAGCUGGCAGCUUAGGAAUUUCCUCAUGCUAUGUAUGUAGAAGAACUAAUAUGGAAGACCAGUGGCCAUGGGAGGCAAAGGAAUUAAUGCCACAAGAUCCCUUCGCUUAACACUGCUAGUGAACCAACAGCCUCAUCCAGUGUUUGGUUGUCAAAUACCUCCAUAAUUGGAAAGUACUGUAUCACCCGAUGAGGAAAGGCUUUCACAGAGGCAGUGUGAGAAACAACCUGCCUAGGACAACAGUAUUAUGAUGAGACUAAAAACAAAACUCUAUGGAGAAAUGCCCAGAAUGACUCCUACUUAAUAGAUCCAAACCCUUUCUCUCAAUUCUCUAGUCUAAGCCACACUUGGCAUCAGCUAGAGGCUCCUAAUGCUUGAAAGGCACCCUCUGGCCUAUAUUGGAUCUGUGGAGCACAGUCAUAUCAGCAACUGCCAGCUAAAUGGACAGGGGCAUGUGUGUUAGGAACAAUCAAGCCAUCAUUCUUUCUAAUUCCUCUAAAGCAAGAGGAACUCUUAGGAUAUCCAGUUUAUGAUAAAAAUAAAAAAACAACUAGAAGCAUAAUCACAAAAAUAGACACAAAUAUCAAAAAGGAUGUGGACAUAGGAAACUAGAAAGAUAAUAAAUGGUCUCCUGAAAGAAUCAUUAAAUGUUAUGGGCCAGCUACCUAGGUGCAAGAUGGGUCAUGGAGGUACUGUACCCCCAUCUAUAUGCUCAACCGCAUCAUAAGGUUGCAGGCAGUCCUUGAAAUUAUAACCAAUGAAACCUCAAGGGCACUAGAUUUAUUGGCAAUACAAGCAACACAAAUGAGGCAUGCCAUAUAUCAAAAUAGGCUGGGUUUAGAUUACCUAUUAGCCUCAGAAGGAGGAGUAUGUGAAAAUUUUAAUUUAACCAACUGUUGCCUAGAAAUUGAUGAUAAUGACCGAGCUGUCAUGGAAAUCACAGCUAGAAUGCACGAGUUCACCCAUGUUCCAGUUCAAACUUGAUCUGGGUGGUCCCUGGAUUCCUUGUUUGGAGGAUGGUUCUCAACCUUAAAAAAAAAAAUUAAAACCCUCAUUGGUGGGUUCUUGCUUAUUUUUGGCAUCUGCCUCAUCCUCCCUUGCCUUUUACCUCUGUUUAUUAGGAGUAUUCAGUCAACUAUAGAGGCAAUAGUAACCAAAAAAACUACCGUGCAGUUGAUAGCAUUAACCAGAUUAUCAGCCACUGCCAGUAGAAUAAGAAGCACAGCCCUGUGAAGAGGUGACAGUGGUGCUUUCUGUUAACAUCUUUGUUAUAAAAAGCACCAAAAGGAGGAAUAGAACAGGAAUAAAAAGAAAUUAAAGAAUGUGUAAAGAGAAACUCGGUUGUAUGUAUGAGAAAGAGAAAGAGCUGGAGUCCUUUAAAAAUUAACUGCCUGUUUUUCUGUGGCUAGUGAGCCUUAUCUCACCCUUUCCCAGGCAUUGUGAAGACUCUGUUUCUCUAGCUGUGCAGCUGCAAGGUCACUAGACAGAUAAACUCAAGUUGUAAAACAUGUUUUUCCUUGAAAAGUAAGAAAUGAUGUAAUGCAUGUUUCAAUUAAUUGAAUAACUGUCUUUGUUUCUCACUUCUGCAAUGUGCUUCCCCCUGCACAGAUCUCCCCCUGCCCCACAAAAUGCUUAAAAGGUGACUUAGCUCUUUGUUCAGGGCUCCGUCCUUUGGAUGUAAAUCUGACUGGGUCGGUGCACCUAAAUAAUAAAUAUCCUCCUCAA